CUCAGAAUCAGAUGCAAAUUCAGAACUUUGGUGAACCUUUUUUCUUUGUAAUACAUGAAGGCGAGACAUUGGCAGAAAUAAAAAUACGAAUACAGAAUAGAUUACAAGUUCCAGAUGAAGAGUUUGCUAAGUGGAAAUUUGCAUUUCUUUCUCUUGGUCGUCCAGAAUACCUUCAGGACUCUGAUGUUGUGUCCAGCCGUUUUCAGAGAAGAGAUGUUUAUGGUG
rnacentral:misc_RNA from 1 species